rnacentral:rRNA from 1 species
UACGUAGGGUGCAAGCGUUAAUCGGAAUUAUUGGGCGUAAAGCGCGCGCAGGCGGUUUCUUAAGUCUGAUGUGAAAGCCCACGGCUUAACCGUGGAAGGGCAUUGGAAACUGGGAGACUUGAGUGCAGAAGAGAAGAGCGGAAUUCCACGUGUAGCGGUGAAAUGCGUAGAGAUGUGGAGGAACACCAGUGGCGAAGGCGGCUCUCUGGUCUGUAACUGACGCUGAGGCGCGAAAGCGUGGGGAUCAAACAGG